CCUAACACAUGCAAGUCGUACGAGAGUUUUUAACUCAAGUGGCGGACGGGUGAGUAACACGUAAGAAUUUGCCUUUAGGAGGGGGACAACAAUUGGAAACGAUUGCUAAUACCCCAUAUGCUUUCGAGUGAAAUGGAUUUUUCCGCCUAAAGAGAAGCUUGCGGCUGAUUAGCUUGUUGGUAAGGUAAUGGCUUACCAAGGCGACGAUCAGUAUCUGGUUUGAGAGGACGAUCAGACACACUGGAACUGAGACACGGUCCAGACUCCUACGGGAGGCAGCAGUGGGGAAUUUUCCGCAAUGGGCGAAAGCCUGACGGAGCAAUCUCGCGUGAGGGAUGACGGCCUAUGGGUUGUAAACCUCUUUUUUCAGGGAGGAUAAAAUGACGUGUACCUGAAGAAUAAGCAUCGGCUAACUCCGUGCCAGCAGCCGCGGUAAGACGGAGGAUGCAAGUGUUAUCCGGAAUCACUGGGCGUAAAGCGUCUGUAGGUGGUUUAAUAAGUCAACUGUUAAAUCUUGAGGCCCAACCUCAAAAUCGCAGUCGAAACUAUUAGGCUAGAGUAUAGUAGGGGUAAAGGGAAUUUCCAGUGGAGCGGUGAAAUGCGUAGAGAUUGGAAAGAACACCGAUGGCGAAGGCACUUUACUGGGCUAUUACUAACACUCAGAGACGAAAGCUAGGGUAGCAAAUGGGAUUAGAUACCCCAGUAGUCCUAGCCGUAAACAAUGGAUACUAGAUGUUGAACAGAUCGACCUGUGCAGUAUUAAAGCUAACGCGUUAAGUAUCCCGCCUGGGAAGUAUGCUCGCAAGAGUGAAACUCAAAGGAAUUGACGG
rnacentral:rRNA from 1 species